UACAGAGGGGGCAAGCGUUGUUCGGAAUUACUGGGCGUAAAGGGCGCGUAGGCGGCCUGUUAAGUCGAACGUGAAAUCCCCGGGCUCAACCCGGGAACUGCGUCCGAUACUGACAGGCUUGAAUCCGGGAGAGGGAUGCGGAAUUCCAGGUGUAGCGGUGAAAUGCGUAGAUAUCUGGAGGAACACCGGUGGCGAAGGCGGCUCUCUGGGCCUUUCCUGACGCUGAGACGCGAAAGCGUGGGGAGCGAACCGG
rnacentral:rRNA from 1 species